rnacentral:lncRNA from 1 species
UUUCUAAUUACUUAUUUAUUUUCUUUUACGAUAAUUCUUUUUGCUAUUAAAGUUUGUAACAAAAUUCUAAGUACUUAUUUAUUUUCUUCUAUGAUAAUUCUUUUUGGCUUUUAAUGUUUUGAACAAAUUUCUAUAUAAUUUUAGUACAAAGGCAUUUUAUUUGGUAGAGAUUUUAAGGCUGGGCCCCACGAGAAGCUUUUUGUACCGGUUCGUGGCAUGAACCGGUAAAAGACUUUUUUAGUUGAUUAUUUCUGCAGCUGUUUUUUAGUCCCACC